rnacentral:rRNA from 1 species
AGAGUUUGAUCCUGGCUCAGAACGAACGCUGGCGGCGUGCUUAACACAUGCAAGUCGAACGGGAAACCUUUUAUUGAAGCUUCGGCAGAUUUAGAUUGUUUCUAGUGGCGGACGGGUGAGUAACGCGUGGGUAACCUGCCUUAUACAGGGGGAUAACAGUCAGAAAUGACUGCUAAUACCGCAUAAGCGCACAGAGCUGCAUGGCUCGGUGUGAAAAACUCCGGUGGUAUAAGAUGGACCCGCGUUGGAUUAGCUGGUUGGUGAGGUAACGGCCCACCAAGGCGACGAUCCAUAGCCGGCCUGAGAGGGUGAACGGCCACACUGGAACUGAGACACGGCCCAGACUCCUACGGGAGGCAGC